rnacentral:rRNA from 1 species
CAGUAGCCGCGGGAAUACAGAGGGUGCGAGCGUUAAUCGGAUUUACUGGGCGUAAAGCGUGCGUAGGCGGCUUCUUAAGUCGGAUGUGAAAUCCCUGAGCUUAACUUAGGAAUUGCAUUCGAUACUGGGAAGCUAGAGUAUGGGAGAGGAUGGUAGAAUUCCAGGUGUAGCGGUGAAAUGCGUAGAGAUCUGGAGGAAUACCGAUGGCGAAGGCAGCCAUCUGGCCUAAUACUGACGCUGAGGUACGAAAGCAUGGGGAGCAAACAGGAUUAGAUACCCGUGUAGUCCCUGUCUCUUAUAA